GCGCGAGAACGAAGAUGGCGCUGCAGUCGGCCGCUGAUCGCGCGUGCGAAAUGCAAAGCCAGCUGUCGUUUGUCAUGAUGUUCCCAGAGGAAUACACCUACGAUGAUGAUGAUGACGAUACUAGUAACGAGAGCAACGUACCAAAAACACGCACCAGGAAGACCAGGAAGAACAAGAAGAAUAGGAAAUCCAAGAGACGCAACUCGUUCUUCUUCUUCUAAGUCACCUUGGAAUUCGUCUCUGGUCAGCGCAGCGCGUUCAUGCUGUUGUCGUCCAAUGCAGCACAAAUAGUCUUCAAACAGUACAAGAUGUAUAGUUUACGUUCUGGGGUUCGUGAACCCUCGCCUUACUGCAGAUCUAUCGUGUCAUGGCUGCCAACGGACCGAUCGAAAACAACACUGCAACGGAUGACAGCUCAGCAGAACUUGGUAGCUGCUGUCUUAUAUACAUGAUUGCGGCCCGCUCACUUACCAUAGAGUAUUAGUGGUAACCGCGUUUUAGUUUUACUAUUACUGUGUACAAAUAUACACGUGUGCGUGGUGAUUAUUAAUGGUCGAUUUUUAUAAAUGUGUAGAUAUAUAAUGGACUCUUAUUCAUAGGUUUUUCACUCAGUGCUGGUUAAGUUGCGAUCAAAGCCAUUCGAGAACAAAUGUUAUGAACAAAGCGCAAGCAAUAGAGAGUAGUAACAAAUAAAGAUAGUGUUGAUUUUCUUCCAACCAGAUUAGCCUUACGAGAUUUUAUUGUCACAUGGUUUAAUUAUGAUCACCGGAUUCCUCUUCACGACCCGAUUAGUAACGAUUACGGAGUAAUAAUUCUCUCUUUCCCUAAUGUCAUACGAUGUGUGUAAGUUAUGAUUUAUUGUGUAGUGUGAUAUAUGAUAUGUACCAACUCAAACUGCAGUUUUCUAUUAUAAAUCAUGACAACAUGGAAUUCAAAUCUUUAUAUAUGUGCAGUUUGCGCGUAGAGACUUUCGUGUUACAGAAAAAAAAAAUUUGGCUACAAGGUCGCGUUUUGGAAAGAAUGUGCAGGUUGGUCGACUAUAGGCGUGUAAUGUUCUAUUGAUGUUUCUUUUAAUGUUGUAGAUAACAAUGUUAUUAGAGUUUGAUCGUGAUUUAUAAUCAAUGCAAUCUUUCUAGUUAUUUGACUUGUGUACGUGAUUGUUCAAUCGCAAUUACAAUAGAGUGAACACAAAA